AGAAGGGAGGAAAAUACACAAGCGCUCACACAGAGACACAUAAGUCCUCCCUCCUCGGGAUAUGGAACUCCAACAGACAUGAAAACGCUCAGGCUCCUUCUGAGGAGGACAUGAGAGGCAUGGCACAGGAUGAAGGGAAAUCCUUCAUACAGGAAGAACACAGGCAACCGCCAGAAUGCAAGGUGGCCUUUCAGGGCCGACUGGAUGGGUUUCUCCCCGUGACCCUCAACCCAACACACACAAAACCUCCCACCCCCUUCUGUGCUGAGCCUUUUUGCCUUCUGGUAACUUCUCUCUCUGUGCAAGGCUUACAGUGUGAUGUAGAUCCUUUUACAUUUGUCUCCCAGUUUAUAUCCACCCCCCCUCCCCUCUUCUACUUUCCUCCUCCUCCUCCUCCUCCCUCCCUCUGCUGCUUCUUCUUCUUCUCUUUUGCCCUGCGUAUCAUUUUUCACUCGCACAGUGGAACAAUCGAUAUGUAGAAAAGCGCUACGGUAUCAUGUAUCAUUGUGGAAUAUGUGAUAUAGAUUAUGGUCAGUUCAUGUUUACAGUAUUUUUCUUUUGUCCUGUUCGGAUCACAAAUGGUUUUUGAGAUGCCUGCACUCACCAGCAUUUAAUUGGUCCUCUAUGGAAAGUUUAUCGUUAAAAAAAAAGGUUUUAAGAGGGGAAAUAUGCAUUCUUAUCAUGACUCACAUCUUAAUACGAGCCUGUGACAUGUCGCACUCGCAUGCCUGUCAUUUAGGAUAUCUCAUCAAUAGGAAUAAAGUACUUUAUUUCACCAUUUUGCAAUAAAAAUGCGCAAAUAAAUAAUUUUACCUCCGUGAUUUGGACCUUGAGAACUCAAAGUGGCAUAUUUUUUUUUGACAGGACCACUGCAAUAAAUUCCUCAAACUCCUUUGCAAUUUAGUGAAUGUGCAUUGGAGUAAAUUGCUUUUUUCUGGAGAUGAGAAUUGCGGGCUGUUUAAACAGGGAUUGUGCAAAGGCCAUAUCCUCUGUCUUAAGAUAUAGGCAAUAUGUUUGGGACAAUGGCUAUUUGAAUGGCUGUUUGUUCAUCAAAUCAAUAUUUUCAUAAAUGGUUAUCCGUUUCUUUAAAUUCACAGGGGUGUCAUAAAUGUUUUCUACGAAAUCUAUUUUUUAUGGAAAACUUUGCGGUGUGAAACCCGAAACCUCAUUUGGUGUUCAUAAAAUUGGUCUAAUAGUUCGUUUCCAAUUUUAUUUUACCAUAACAUAUGUCAUAUACGCAUGGCCGCAAUGCGAAUCUGGGCGGCUGCAUUGAUCACAGACAGAUAGAACAAAGAUGGCGGACGAGCCUCUCCUCUCUGAUAUUCUCUUUCUGUACUUCUGCUUCGCUCAUUUCUCUCCACGAGCUGAGGUCCAGUUUCAUUGCAUUAUCUGCAUGUCCGGAGCGUCCCAAAGGAGCUGCAGAAUGACCAGUGGCCCCGCUGACCCUCAGAGCUGCUGUCACCCUUCAUCACCCCGCUCUCCAUCUUGGAUGGUGUGGUCACCUAGCAACCAGGGCCAGGGUUCGCCGCUCAUGGACCAGAGGCUAUUGGGAAAUCAAUCGAUACGCCUCGGCCCAACCUAGCAAGCUGCCUGCCUGGCUGGCUGACUGACUCCCCCCUCCCUUACCGCUCCUUGUGCUCCUCCUCCCCCUCUCCCUUGUUAUGGCCAAAUGAAGACGAUGCAGUUCUCACUUUUCCUCACCUCGCAGUACGUGGAUAUCCUGUUACAGGCUAAGAAAUGCCUCUGCUUGCCAGGGGCUCACAGCUCUUGAGGCUGAUGUAUCUGUCCUGUCAUCCGGCCUCCAUUUCCACCAAUGUUUGGAUUGAAAGGCGGGGAGACAGCAAUUAAUCAAAUUUCAGAAGAGGAUCUCGUUUCUAUCGCAGUAUCGGCCAUGAAGAAGUGCUGACCAGAGAUUACACUGGUGCACAAUUGCUGCUCACCCCAUCCCUCCACCACAUUUAUGAAUUCCUUUCAGCACAUCGGAGCACCUCCAUGUUUCUAGGAGCAAUAACUCCACCACCCCAAUCCUCCUUUGGACCACUUUCACAUGGGUCUAUGUGAAUCUAAUUAGAAACCUAUCAGACAUGAACGCAGAGAUCACUUUCAUUAGCAGAACAAUGAUAAAUGUUAAAGGGAUUACAGGAUCCCCCAAAAAAAUAAAGAUGGUGAUUUUUUAAGCUCAUAGAAACAUCUACAAGGUCAGAUCUUCUUCGCAAGACCUCUAUUUAUUAUGGAGGUUCCCCUUCACAACCUUUACAAUCAGGCUGGGGUCAGCAACCCUUGAUCCCCUCCGACCACAUUGGGAGGAUGGGCAAAAUUCGAUCACCUUAAACAGUUUAAAACAGAAGGCUCGGGGAAGAGGAGGACUGAGGGUGGAGGGGUAAAAAGAAGAAGUGGAGGAGGAGGAGAAGGGCAGGCAGGGUGGGGUUAGCACCGACAACAAACCAGUGCUAAUCUGUUCUCCAAUCAGAGACAUCAAACUGAACUAAAGGAGAAUUUGGUGGUCCAUCUGGGCAGUUGGGUGACUCCCUGAGAUCCUCUGAAUACUGGGGUCUAAACUAUAUUUACACAAGAUAUUCCACUAUCGUAGAAUAGUUCAGUUUAGCACCAAAAGUCAGAGUAAAGGACCAUUAAAAAAACAGCUAAUAAAUAAGACACUGAGACAAAAGCUCCUCAAACAAGACACCACAUUACGCAAAACUUCUCUGGUUUUACAAAUAUUCUGGCUUGUUUUUUUGACCGUGAGAUUUAAUAUUAGGAAUUCCAAAUUUCCAAGAUGCCUGUUAGAUAUGAUCCCCUAGAACACUCCCUGAGGUCCCAACGCCUACUUGGAAAUUCAGAGCAACUUCUGGUACCCAGAGCUUGAAAUCCAAGAUGGUUGCCCCCCCUCGCACCAACUGCCGAACAGUUGGGCUUUUAAUGGUGUUUAUUAGCCGCUUGGUCUUAUCCGCGUGUUUUAAUCAAUCGUACCACUAGUAUCAGGCAAGAUGUCUAUGCAUUCUACGCAUUUCUGCUAUUUGACUUCUGGGUCAAAUCCUGGGGUGCUGCACAGAAUGCCCAGACCAGUUUGGGUCUGAUUGACAUGUUUACAAAUACAUAAGAUGAUCGUAGCAGAUUUUCAGGUGCAAACACUGCAGUGCAUUGCAUAAACCAGCAGAUGCACACACUUGUGCCAAACAACAACAGGCAGCUGCAGUGUCCCCUCCCACCUCGCUCCAGAUUAGGCCGACAGAUUUCUUGACUUUUGUUGUUGCCAUCCCCACGACUAAGAAGAUGAUGCUACCUCUGUUGUGGGGUUUUCAAGCUCCCCAGAUGGUCAUCCAGCACGUGGCUGGAGGUGGGCCAUGAAAUGACCCCCCAGCUGGACACUGUGGCCAGGUCACUGAUCUCUGAGCCUCCCCUCCUCCUCCCUCCUUUUUAGGGCCAGCUGCCAUCGCAGCAGUCCUAUCCUAAUGGUGUUGGAUCACCCCCCCUUCCCCUCCUCCUCGACCCCCAUAUCAGCAGCUAGUAAGACCACGGGGAGUGUCCAGCUGCCCUCUACCCCUCCCCUCUCUAAAUCCACUGGCCUUUCACUGGACACAGGAGAGCCUAAGGGGGGGUGUAGGGGACAGAGUGUAAAAGGAUGGGCUUGUCUGAUUCGCACCCCCACCCCAGUAAAGAUAGGAAAAGGGGCAGAUGAGAGCUAUAGCCACAAGGAUCAACCAUGGCCACAGAGGCAUGACAUUGACACGGGCGAAAGAAAAGAACCUUUUAACCAUAAAAGUGGAAUAGUCGCCUCUGGAAAUCAGGGGCGACAGUAAAUGUGUUUGUGAGUGCCUGGGUGUCUCGCUCAUUGUCCCCAUUACAUGUCCCAUGGAGUGCCAGAGAGAGGGGGGUACAAGCAGAAACUAGAUGGGCAGGGAGGGGUCGAUGCUUAAAAGCAUUCACAGUGACAUACGCAGACAUGCAUCCACACUGAAAUACUGUCUGGUUGUGUGCAGCUAAUGCGCUGCUGCUUCUGUAGAGCCCCGGUACAGUUGGAUGACUUGGCACGGGCCCACCCGGCGCAGGGGGAGGUACGCCUCUGCUGGGCUGGAGCCGGGCUGCCUACUGAGAGAGGGGGCUUCUGGGUUUGCUUGCCUGGAGUAAUGUCGAUAAAUCAAUAGGACACACGUCACUGCAGGCCCAGAGAAGCCACAUGAAACUGUCAUUGAUCGGCAUAAGGUGGAGUGUGUGCGGGGGGAGAAGGGUGAGGGAAGAGGGGUGGGAUGGAUGGAUGUAAGUGUUGGGAUGGGAGGGGGGAGGGAGAAUCCAAAUGCAAGGAACCCAAGGGUCAUCUAUCUCCCCUCUUCCUCUUGCUCCUUUUUCCUUCUUCCUCCCUCUCCCCUAACAAUGAGCACAAUUGCAUAGGCGGGGUGUCAAAGGUCAGAGCAGUGGCCAGUGGCUGCCGAACAACACUGCAGAGCCACGUGCCCAUCAAUAGCUGGCUGUCACAGCUCACAAAACACAGAGUGCCUCUGGUGUUACAGGACAACUGCUGCGUUGUCCGUGGUGGUGCAGCUUGCCAAUCUCUGACAUGCUGCGUUCAUGCUCAAAUUUCACUCCUCUG